ACACGUGGGCAAUCUGCCCUGCACUACUGGGACAAGCCCUGGAAACGGGGUCUAAUACCGGAUACGACCUUCGAGCGCAUGCUUGAGGGUGGAAAGCUCCGGCGGUGCAGGAUGAGCCCGCGGCCUAUCAGCUUGUUGGUGGGGUGAUGGCCUACCAAGGCGACGACGGGUAGCCGGCCUGAGAGGGCGACCGGCCACACUGGGACUGAGACACGGCCCAGACUCCUACGGGAGGCAGCAGUGGGGAAUAUUGCACAAUGGGCGAAAGCCUGAUGCAGCGACGCCGCGUGAGGGAUGACGGCCUUCGGGUUGUAAACCUCUUUCAGCAGGGAAGAAGCGAGAGUGACGGUACCUGCAGAAGAAGCGCCGGCUAACUACGUGCCAGCAGCCGCGGUAAUACGUAGGGCGCAAGCGUUGUCCGGAAUUAUUGGGCGUAAAGAGCUCGUAGGCGGCUUGUCGCGUCGGAUGUGAAAGCCCGGGGCUUAACCCCGGGUCUGCAUUCGAUACGGGCAGGCUAGAGUUCGGUAGGGGAGAUCGGAAUUCCUGGUGUAGCGGUGAAAUGCGCAGAUAUCAGGAGGAACACCGGUGGCGAAGGCGGAUCUCUGGGCCGAUACUGACGCUGAGGAGCGAAAGCGUGGGGAGCGAACAGGAUUAGAUACCCUGGUAGUCCACGCCGUAAACGUUGGGCACUAGGUGUGGGCGACAUUCCACGUCGUCCGUGCCGCAGCUAACGCAUUAAGUGCCCCGCCUGGGGAGUACGGCCGCAA
rnacentral:rRNA from 1 species